rnacentral:rRNA from 2 species
GAGGGAACGUUUAUCGGGAUUAUUGAGGCGUAAAGCGAGCGCAGGCGGUUUUUUAAGUCUGAUGUGAAAGCCCUCGGCUUAACCGAGGAAGCGCAUCGGAAACUGGGAAACUUGAGUGCAGAAGAGGACAGUGGAACUCCAUGUGUAGCGGUGAAAUGCGUAGAUAUAUGGAAGAACACCAGUGGCGAAGGCGGCUGUCUGGUCUGUAACUGACGCUGAGGCUCGAAAGCAUGGGUAGCGAACAGGAUUAGAUACCCUGGUAGUCCAUGCCGUAAACGAUGAAUGCUAGGUGUUGGAGGGUUUCCGCCCUUCAGUGCCGCAGCUAACGCAUUAAGCAUUCCGCCUGGGGAGUACGACCGCAAGGUUGAAACUCAAAGGAAUUGACGGGGGCCCGCACAAGCGGUGGAGCAUGUGGUUUAAUUCGAAGCAACGCGAAGAACCUUACCAGGUCUUGACAUCUUUUGAUCACCUGAGAGAUCAGGUUUCCCCUUCGGGGGCAAAAUGACAGGUGGUGCAUGGUUGUCGUCAGCUCGUGUCGUGAGAUGUUGGGUUAAGUCCCGCAACGAGCGCAACCCUUAUGACUAGUUGCCAGCAUUUAGUUGGGCACUCUAGUAAGACUGCCGGUGACAAACCGGAGGAAGGUGGGGAUGACGUCAAAUCAUCAUGCCCCUUAUGACCUGGGCUACACACGUGCUACAAUGGAUGGUACAACGAGUUGCGAGACCGCGAGGUCAAGCUAAUCUCUUAAAGCCAUUCUCAGUUCGGACUGUAGGCUGCAACUCGCCUACACGAAGUCGGAAUCGCUAGUAAUCGCGGAUCAGCACGCCGCGGUGAAUACGUUCCCGGGCCUUGUACACACCGCCCGUCACACCAUGAGAGUUUGUAACACCCGAAGCCGGUGGCGUAACCCUUUUAGGGAGCGAGCCGUCUAAGGUGGGACAAAUGAUUAGGGUGAAUCUAUACAGGGGGGACCACCAUAUAAACCCCCGUU